GUGGGGAAUCUUCCGCAAUGGACGAAAGUCUGACGGAGCGACGCCGCGUGAGUGAAGAAGGCCUUCGGGUCGUAAAGCUCUGUCGUCAGGGACGAACGGCCGGUGGAGUGGAAAGCCACCGGAUUGACGGUACCUGAGAAGGAAGCCACGGCUAACUACGUGCCAGCAGCCGCGGUAAUACGUAGGUGGCAAGCGUUGUCCGGAAUUAUUGGGCGUAAAGCGCGCGCAGGUGGGAUCUUAAGUCCAUUUUGAAAGUUCGGAGCUCAACUCCGUGAUGGGAUGGAAACUGGGAUUCUUGAGUACCGGAGAGGAAAGCGGAAUUCCCCGUGUAGCGGUGAAAUGCGUAGAUAUGGGGAGGAACACCAGUGGCGAAGGCGGCUUUCUGGACGGUGUCUGACACUGAGGCGCGAAAGCUAGGGGAGCGAACGGGAUUAGAAACCCCAGUAGUCC
rnacentral:rRNA from 1 species